UGCUGCAUGUAAGUGGGAUUACUAAUUGUUCCAUUGGUUUUGCUCUGGUGAGUUCUUCCCCAUAUACCUUUGAUGCUUUUGCCUCCAUACCUUGGAGCUGGUAUUUUUUUCAAGGUUUAUCAUGUUUUUGUGGUAGUGUGACUGGCUCAGAGUUUAUAAUCAUUUGUCUUCUUCAAUGAAUGUCUGUGCUAUGAUAUUCUGUAAGGCUAGGCACACACUAAGUUGGUUAAUGCUUUUGAGCUAGCUUGUUGGGAGAUAAUGAAACAAUAAUGUUUAUCUGCUCACAAUGCCUUAUAUUGAUUCUUCUGGAUAGGUAUUUUAAUCGUAAGAGAUGUCUCCAAAAAAGCAAAAACAACAAUUCACUGUUGAUUUACUUUUCUAUGAUUGCUCCCAUUAGAUUGUCCUUAAAUCAUGUGCAAAGCUGAAGUAUUGUUCGCUGACUAUCAACCUGACAGAUCAGAUGGGAUGAUGAUGCAGAGUGUUAAAAGGCCUAAUGGGUUAUCUCGUUGGUAGAUGAAGCUUGUUGGAUUGAUUUCAGGCCAUUGAAAAUAGAUGACACCAUGCCUCCCCCAGUUAAUGAACAUGUGUCGCUUCCAAGUAAUAAUAAAUUUUCUAUUCUCUUUGCUCUACUAAACUUUCUUUUCUUUUGCCAUUUUGGCUGGUAGUCUUUCAUAGAAUUUUGUGAUAUCUACUUGACUCCACAAGGUCAUGCAACAUUAAGAAUUGCCGGGUUUGAAAAACACAGGAUGGAAUUGUUAAUUCAUUAUCUCUGUCUGAAGCAAGACAUAUUUGGUACACUGUUGAAUAGAGUUGAUGUAUCAGCAUGAGUAACAUUGUGAUAUUCUAAGGGUUGGUGCUAAAAACCCACCUAGAAACUAUUGUUUUCCUAGCAACUAUGUGGUUCAUAUGUUAAUAUGAUUUUUUACUGGUAGGACAACCAGGAGGUAAUGCAAUAUCCUUAUUAGUUAUACUCAGGGAUGCAAAAUCUUCACCUGAUGAUUCCACCCCUUUUUACAUGACACUAGCUGCUACAUAGUAAAAAGAGUCUCACCGAUGCUCUUUAUGACACCAACUGACAGAUUAAUAAGUGCACUCAUAGAGAACAUAACAAGGUAUUUUAGGAAGUGCUUGGACUAGGUUCAAAUUUUUGACAGUUUUAGGCACGCUUUUUUUACAGUGUUGGUUUCAAUUUUUUUUCCGACACAGUUAGACUUUCUGAAAUACAUCGUUGAACUACAUAUGAAACAAUAGUGUUUAUUUGGUCACCAGCAAGAUGAUGAUGUGAAACGGAUGACUUUGCGUCUUUCAGAAUUUCUACCAUUAAAUAGUUUCCCAUAACAGAAUAUUUGCUAAUAUUGGUAGCUAAAAAUGAGAUACUUAUGCUUGUUGAUGCCUUCCCUUUUUGUAGUAACAUCCAUUUGUCCAGCAUAUGUAGAAUAUUAGAUUUUUUGGCUGUUUAUCGUAGUUCGUUCUCAAGGUUUGGAAAAUUCUUUAGCUAUAUUCCUUGUCUCAAGCGAGCAUGAGCAAUAUCUUCUUUAUGCCGCAUGCCGCCAAGUUUCUCUAUUUUAGAUGGUUGUGUAAAUUUUGCUUCUAAAAAGGGAUAUGUAUUUUAUUAAUCUGACUAUAAUUUGUGGUAGGUACAUACUGAAGGAUGUUCUGAGGCUAGCACCUGGUUUAGAAGUUUUACAAUUCACAACAAUACCUCAUAAUUUUGAUUUGAUGUCCAGAAUGUAAAUUGAAGAAUGAGCCUAUGAAUUGCAUUGUAUUUUGUAAUGUAUCCUUAUAUAUGGUGCUUGUGGCUGGUUUUUUUGCAAUUAUAAGUUUAUGUUUAUGGGUAUUAUAGAGUCCUUUCUUUUUCUACAAGGGGCAGUAGCCGUGUCAUUCGAUUCGAAGGACAAAGAGUUGAUCACAAAGGGGUAGCACUCAGGAUAUAUACACAAGAGUAUAGAACCAAAUUAUAUGAUGUAAUUGACCACUAUUUCUAUUAACUUCUCCUGUACAAAUGUUCACGAGUUCAUGUAUUAAGUACAUUUUAUUGUGUCACUUGUGUUUUCUCUUUUUUAAUGCAAGUUUACAGCUACUCGGAGUUCCUAAUUGCAGACUCAACUAUUUUGACCUACCGAUGAUCUAAUUUGUGGCAUUAUUACCUUCAAAAAAUAUUUGCAUUUAAUUUCCUUUAUGUAUAGGGGUAUAAGUUCUUACCAAAUGUACUCAAAUAUA
rnacentral:lncRNA from 1 species